AACUGUAGUAAUUCUAGAGCUAAUACAUGCCACGAUGCCCUGACCCUUCGGGGAAUGGGUGCAUUUAUUAGAACAGAACCAACCGGGUGCAUUCCUUGCGUUUGUGCCUGUCACAUUCUGUGAUGACUCUGGAUAACUUUGCUGAUCGCAGUCGGCCUUGUGUCGGCGACGAAUCUUUCAAAUGUCUGCCCUAUCAAUUGUCGAUGGUAGGUGACCUGCCUACCAUGGUGAUAACGGGUAACGGGGAAUCAGGGUUCGAUUCCGGAGAAAGAGCCUGAGAAACGGCUACUAUUUCCAAGGAAGGCAGCAGGCGCGCAACUUACCCAAUCCCGGCACGGGGAGGUAGUGACGAAAAAUACGGAUGCGGGACUCAACAGAGGCUCCGUAAUUCGAAUGAGUAAACUUUAAAUCCUUUAACGAGGACCAACUGGAGGGCAAGUCUGGUGCCAGCAGCCGCGGUAACUCCAGCUCCAGAAGCGUAUAUUAAAGUUGUUGCAGUUAAAAAGCUCGUAGUUGGAUCUGGGACGCAUGGUUACGUGCCGUCACUUGCAUUUCUAGUCUAGCCACGGUUGGGCCGGAUUUGUGAGGCGGUUUCGUAGCUGUGUAGCCUUUCUGCCGUGUCUGUUUCGACAGGUGCUGACGGUCAUACGUUGGCAUGCUUCCAGAUGCUCUUAACCGGGUGUC
rnacentral:rRNA from 2 species